rnacentral:tRNA from 1 species
AUCUUUAUAGCUUAAUAGUAGAGUAUAAUACUGUUAAUAUUAUAAUAGAGGUUUGAUUUUUUUUAAGGGCU